rnacentral:rRNA from 1 species
CCUACGGGAGGCAGCAGUGAGGAAUAUUGGUCAAUGGACGAGAGUCUGAACCAGCCAAGUAGCGUGAAGGAUGACUGCCCUAUGGGUUGUAAACUUCUUUUAUAUGGGAAUAAAACGUUCCACGUGUGGGAUUUUGUAUGUACCAUAUGAAUAAGGAUCGGCUAACUCCGUGCCAGCAGCCGCGGUAUUACGGAGGAUCCGAGCGUUAUCCGGAUUUAUUGGGUUUAAAGGGAGCGUAGGUGGAUUGUUAAGUCAGUUGUGAAAGUUUGCGGCUCAACCGUAAAAUUGCAGUUGAAACUGGCAGUCUUGAGUACAGUAGAGGUGGGCGGAAUUCGUGGUGUAGCGGUGAAAUGCUUAGAUAUCACGAAGAACUCCGAUUGCGAAGGCAGUUCACUGGACUGCAACUGACACUGAGGCUCGAAAGUGUGGGUAUCAAACAGGAUUAGAUACCCCAGUAGUC